rnacentral:lncRNA from 1 species
GCUUUUCACUGCCAUCAGAAGCAAAACUUUAUAUGGUGCCAGGGGCCCCUGAAGCUGAGAGCCCGCUGAUCAAUCUGUUUUCGAUCUGACUUCCACAUACACAGAGUCAGCCCUUUCAAGUGUUGGUUGGCUCCCCCGAGGGACAAUAAAAAACCCGCCAGAAAGAAGAGGCCGGAGAGUCUUUAGUAAGGAAGUCAGAAGCUGCCUCACUGUACAAGUCAGGCCACACGAGCCUGUCUGGCAAGUCAUGGUUCCAAGGCAAGAGGCCCCCUGCCUGGUUGGAAAGUUGGAAAAGGUCCCACCUGCAUACCGAAUUGCCCCUCGAGAAAAGGUUACAGAAAACUCAUCAUCCAGGCAGGCAAGGCCCAGAUAGAAAAGAUUAGUUAGCAAUGGGAGAAUGGAAAGUUCUAGAUAAACUUCAGGCUAUUUUGAGAUCUAAAGAUAUUGCCCACAGGAGCUUGAGCAUGUGGUUAGACUUUGGAUAGGCGAGAGUCCACGUUCCCCAGUGAGAUGGUCCGCCACCACCCCAGCUUCUCUCGGAAUAACCAGCUGCACCCCAGGCCUUGCGGUUCCCUCUCGUCUGCCCGCCUUCUCCUAGCUCGGAUGGCAGGGCCACGCAGAGGUCCCCUGCUGUGCGUCAGGCAGAGAGCCCCACAUCCCCAGCGGUCCACCUCUGCAGAGACAGGAGCUGGGCUGGGACCGACUCCACCACCUCAGCAAGGAAGCCUCGCUCAGGAGUGCCACCUACUGGAGGAAGGGAGAAGGGCAGAAAAACAGUCCAAGAAUUCAAAGAGCCAGACUUCAGAGCGUGAAGGAAGGCAAAGGAAUUUCUGCAGGAUCUGCUUAACCGAGUGGAGUCAUAAGCAAGUCGUAAGUGGUGCUGUUUGUGAGGGACCAGCUUGGAAUCUCAUGCUUAGAAUUCCCGUGUGACAGCAGCAUGACAGGACUUCUCCAUCGCACAAGAUGGCGGGCCACGGAGACAAGGAGGGCGUCAGUGAGUUCGGACAACAGCAGGAGGGAGAGAUGUGGGGGUAAGGAUUACAUAGACCAGGAUCCAAGGCUUCUCUUUUCUCUCAUUUUAUGAGAACAUAUGGGUGUUGUGGUUCAUAUAUUUGAACCCUCAUUAAUAAAUAUUAAGAUAGUAAGUGUCCA